UCCAAUUCAGCCAUUCGGAGGUCCUGGCAGUUGAAACUUCAAGACAGGAAUUUGGAGUGAGGACACAGUUCAUUCCAUAUACAAAGACAGGAGCGGCUUCCUCCAGAACCCGGAAGGUCUGUCCCUCUACAGAAACCCAGAUCUAAUCAUGUCACAUCCCACACCAGAGACCGGGUCUCACUCUGUUGUCCAGGCUGGUCUGGAACUCCUGGGAUCAAACCAUCCUCCUGCCUCAGCCCCCCAAGGUGCAGGAAUUACAGGAUCACACCAUGCCCACUGAGUUAAGACUUUUUGAUAGCCAAGUGAUUGUACAAGCCUCUGAGCUCAACCCCACUUGAAUCAUCUUGAGAGACUUGAUCAUAAUUCAAGUUCUUCUUUGGCACAUUUUUAUCAUUGGCUAUGGGUUUACAUAAAACACAAUGAGUCACA